AAGAUGGCCUUGCACUGAGAGAGAGAGAGAGACAGAGAGAGAGAGAGAGAGAGAGAGAGAGAGAGAGAGAGAGAGAGAGGUAUAGGUAAGAAGUAAAUACAACUGGAAACAUAUUUUUAGUUAGGAAAAAUUUUGCAAGAUGCCCUGUUUAUAAAACAGAAAAUUAGAGAUAACAGAAUUUUUCUCAGAAUGCUAAAAUCAAUAUGCAAUGAAGAUAACAUACUAAAUGAUACGCUGCUGAUCACUAUUUCUGCAGAAGGACAGCUCAAGCUCACAAGAAGAUGGCAUUCGGGUUUUCUGCGUGUUCAAGGAGAUCUGCUGUGCCUCUGGAAAGGGAUUUAUGGCUAGGGGACAACUGGCUGCUGGGCUCUGGUGGCUGCUAGUGCUGAGACCCUGAGAAGCCCAGCAUUUUCCUGCUUUCCACAAUGUCACCUCAAUUUGAAAAUACUGAGAUUUAGUUAGAUGAACGGGAAGAUAUAUUUUAUAUUCCAGUUUCUCCUCUCCUUUGAAGUUAGUUUUAUGUUGUAGGAAUUUGAAAGAGCAUUAUUUUUUUCUGGAGUGAGAUAUUAUACACAAAUAAUGAAAGUGCUCUCUCUCAUGUGGUGGAACAAUGUCAACAAUACCUCUUUUUAAGACCAUGCUAAGAAGGCCUCUUUCUAGCCAGGAAGUUGUAAAAAUAAUACCAUAAUAGGAUUAUGUGUUUGAAGGACAGUACCAUUCCUUCCUUAAUUUAAGGAGCAAUGCUUCCAUGGCUCUUCCCUGUUUAUUGACCGGAGUCACCUGGAGCUCGAGUCUGCUGGGCUUUACUGAUUCAUUCCCUACUAUGGUAGCACCCUCUCCGAGGCUCUGCAUUCCCAAUAAAAGCUUG
rnacentral:lncRNA from 1 species